rnacentral:rRNA from 1 species
UACAGGGGGGGCAAGCGUUGUUCGGAAUUACUGGGCGUAAAGGGCUUGUAGGUGGCCAACUAAGUCACACGUGAAAUCCCCAGGCUUAACCUGGGAACUGCGUGUGAUACUGGAUGGCUUGAAUCCGGGAGAGGGAUGCGGAAUUCCAGGUGUAGCGGUGAAAUGCGUAGAUAUCGGGAGGAACACCAGUGGCGAAGGCGACUUCCUGGCCUGUUCUUGACGCUGAGGCGCGAAAGCUAGGGGAGCAAACGGG